rnacentral:rRNA from 2 species
GCGAACUGCGAUAAGUAAUGCGAAUUGCAGAAUUCAGCGAGCCAUCGAAUCUUUGAACGCACAUUGCGCCCGCCAGCAUUCUGGCGGGCAUGCCUGUCCGAGCGUCAUUUCCUCCCUCACGCAGCGCGCCUGCGUGGUGUUGGGGCGUUCUGCGGCCAGGCCUGCGCCCA